AUGUCGCACAAACCCGCGUCAGCCCUGAAGACCAUUCCACUUGUCUGGCCCUUCGCUAUUUGGGGACUGGACAUGGUUGGACCACUAAGAACGGGCAGGAGCGGUUUCACUCAUGUGCUAGUAGCAGUUGACAAGUUCACCAAAUGGAUUGAAGCUAAGCCUAUCAAGAAUCUUGAUGCUUGCACUGCUAUCAGUUUCAUUAGAGAGUUGAUAUUCAGAUAUGGAGUUCCGCACAGCAUCAUCACUGACAAUGGGUCAAACUUUGAUUCUGACAAGUUCAAAGCAUUUUGCGCCUCUCAAGGCAGACGAGUCGACUACACUUCAGUCGCUCACCCCCAGUCGAAUGGACAAGCGGAAAGAGCAAACGGCUUAAUUCUCAAAGGACUGAAACCCCGACUGAUGCGCGAUCUCAAGCACGCAGCGGGUGCAUGGGUCGAUGAGCUUCCAUCAGUUCUUUGGGGAUUGAGGACAACCCUGAACCGAUCGACUAGAAGAACCCCAUUCUUUCUGGUCUACGGAGCUGAAGCAGUUUUGCCGAGUGACCUGCUUCACAAUGCACCCCGAGUUGAGCUCUACUCUGAAGAUGAAGCAGAACAAGCCCGGCAGGACGCAGUCGACCUCCUAGAAGAAGAAAGAGAAAUGGCCAUGAUCCGAUCGACCAUCUAUCAGCAAGACUUGCGUUGA
rnacentral:rRNA from 1 species